UUCUUUAAGAAAACCCUAACUUAAAGUAAAGCCUGCUCCAUGAAACAUUAAAUAGCCGCAGUUAACCUGUGCUAAGGUAGCAUAAUCAUUAGCUUCAUAAUUAGAAGAUAGUAUGAAAGGCUAAACGUAAAGUUUCUGUCUCAUCCACAAUAACGAAAUUUAUAUAUUAGUUAAAAAGCUAAUCAACCACCACAGGACGACAAGACCCCGAUAAACUACACUUUUAGUUGGGGCAACAAAGAAAUAACUCCUUACUCAUACAACACACCUAGUAACACCUAAAUACGAACAGUUACUACGGGGAUAACAGCGCAAUUUUUUAAUAGAGCCCUUAUCAAAUAAAAAGAUUACGACCUCGAUGUUGAAUUAACCUCCCUGUCUGGCGCAAAAGCCUUAUCAAGAAGGUCUGUUCGACCUAAUAAAGGUU
rnacentral:rRNA from 1 species